UCAUUACCUCAAACUCUGAGACGACUACAGCUGCUCACAGACCUGCAGUUACUCCACAGAAGGUGAUGGUGAUUAUUGUAGAGUUUGCAGUGUUUGCUGCUCCUACUGUGAUUCUUCUUCAGAUCAUCUGUGCAAGAAGAGCUGAGAGGAAGGACUCGCAGCACCCAGAGGAAAUAGAAAUGAAUACAAUAUUAGAGUAAAAUACUCCACAAAUAACAGAAUACUGCAAGAUUUAUCUUCAUGUCAAUGCUAUUACGGAUGUUUGUAUGCAACUUUCAGGAAUAUUUUCCAUACUGUACUGAAUCCUUUAAAUAUAAUAUUAAAUACAGUGAUCAACAGAGCAAAAAGGUACCUCUAAUGAACAUAAGUGAUUGUUACAGAAAUCAUA